rnacentral:rRNA from 1 species
CAACGAGAGCACCGGCUACUCGUGCAGCAGCGCGUAUACGAGGGGUGCGAGCGUAUCGAUACUGGGCGUAAAGCGCAUGCAGGUGUUCAUAAGUCAGAUGUGAAAGCCCGGGGCUCAACUCGGAACUGCAUUUGAAACUGGUGAACUAGAGUACUGUAGAGGGGGGUAGAAUUUCAGGUGUAGCGGUGAAAUGCGUAGAGAUCUGAAGGAAUACCAGUGGCGAAGGCGGCCCCCUGGACAGAUACUGACACUCAGAUGCGAAAGCGUGGGGAGCAAACAGGAUUAGAUACCCUGGUAGUCCACGCCGUAAACGAUGUCUACUUGGAGGUUGUGGCCUUGAGCCGUGGCUUUCGGAGCUAACGCGUUAAGUAGACCGCCUGGGGAGUACGGUCGCAAGAUUAAAACUCAAAUGAAUUGACGGGGGCCCGCACAAGCGGUGGAGCAUGUGGUUUAAUUCGAUGCAACGCGAAGAACCUUACCUACUCUUGACAUCCAGAGAAGCCUGCGGAGACGCAGGUGUGCCUUCGGGAGCUCUGAGACAGGUGCUGCAUGGCUGUCGUCAGCUCGUGUUGUGAAAUGUUGGGUUAAGUCCCGCAACGAGCGCAACCCUUAUCCUUGUUUGCCAGCGAGUAAUGUCGGGAACUCCAGGGAGACUGCCGGUGAUAAACCGGAGGAAGGUGGGGACGACGUCAAGUCAUCAUGGCCCUUACGAGUAGGGCUACACACGUGCUACAAUGGCGCAUACAGAGGGCAGCAAGCCAGCGAUGGUAAGCGAAUCCCAAAAAGUGCGUCGUAGUCCGGAUUGGAGUCUGCAACUCGACUCCAUGAAGUCGGAAUCGCUAGUAAUCGUAGAUCAGAAUGCUACGGUGAAUACGUUCCCGGGCCUUGUACACACCGCCCGUCACACCAUGGGAGUGGGCUGCAAAAGAAGUGGGUAGUUUAACCUUUCGGGGAGGACG